AGUGAACGCUGGCGGUAGGCCUAACACAUGCAAGUCGAACGGCAGCACAGUAAGAGCUUGCUCUUACGGGUGGCGAGUGGCGGACGGGUGAGGAAUACAUCGGAAUCUACUUUUUCGUGGGGGAUAACGUAGGGAAACUUACGCUAAUACCGCAUACGACCUACGGGUGAAAGCAGGGGAUCUUCGGACCUUGCGCGAUUGAAUGAGCCGAUGUCGGAUUAGCUAGUUGGCGGGGUAAAGGCCAACCAAGGCGACGAUCCGUAGCUGGUCUGAGAGGAUGAUCAGCCACACUGGAACUGAGACACGGUCCAGACUCCUACGGGAGGCAGCAGUGUGGAAUAUUGGACAAUGGGCGCAAGCCUGAUCCAGCCAUACCGCGUGGGUGAAGAAGGCCUUCGGGUUGUAAAGCCCUUUUGUUGGGAAAGAAAAGCAGCAGGUUAACACCCCGCUGUUCUGACGGUACCCAAAGAAUAAGCACCGGCUAACUUCGUG
rnacentral:rRNA from 1 species